UUUUUCGGUGCUGAGGUGCUUUGCUGGAGGAGCUGCCAGGGGGAGCUGCGCGGGGCAGGCCCGGGGUACCAGAGGCCCUUGCUUUAGCGGCGGCCCUGCGUGUGCCAGAGGCUUGCAGAGUGAUCUGAGCACGCCAAGAGAUUGCUGUCAAUGAAAGCACCAGAUUUCCGCGUAGGAGGGACUCGGGGGCAACGAUGCAAUUGGAAGUUCCAGGAACAAAGUCACUCACUGUCCUGUGGGUAGUCUCCGAGUCUCUGCGAGGACCCACUGCACGGCAGGAGCUAGUCUCAGACUGAGGUGAGUUCUCGGCAGCAGAAGGCACCACCGCACUCCCAAGGGCUAAAGGUUUACCCUGCACCUCUCCUACUGAAGCUUGCAGAGGGUUGGCAUGGCAGCCUUCUUCAUCAUAGGAGACUCUAAGACUGCUACUUUUGGCUCCUCUGGGUUGUGCAGCUUGAGUGGAAGAGCAGAUCCUCUCACAGCCUAGACCUCCUGGCCAGCCGUUUCUUGCCCUAGACUCCACUCCGAGUGGCAGUCUCCCAAGCUGUCUAAUAGGCGUAUGGGAGAAGUAUCAGCAAGUAUGCUACUUCUAAUGUCCCAGGUGGUGCACCCAGCACUGUGCCUCUUCCCUAGUGCAGCUGAAGGAAAGCUGCCACUGCCUGUGCCUUCCUUUACAAGGGUUGUCCUGGCAUGUGUCAGACCACUGGGUCCCCUAACAACCUUGCCAAUGUGCCAGUCCUCUGAAUGUUUCUGGGCUUUAGCCCCUGCCCUUGGCUUGCACGUGUCUUCUUCCUAGGACAUCCGGGGUGCUUGUGUCAUAUGCUGGUAGCAUAAUGUCAUCAACAGUGCACCAGUGUGCUGUGCAAACUAUCCCGAGACAGCCUGUAUGCAUGCAAAGUAUGCUCAAAAGUACCCAAGGCCGAGGCGUGGCAGCUCAUGCCUAUAAUUCCAGCACUUUGGGAG
rnacentral:lncRNA from 1 species